GUUUAUUGUGUAGUGGUUCUAUUCAAGUGGGAAUAAAUAAAUAAAUAAAUAUACAAAUCACACAGAUUGAGCAAGCCCCAAAGGAAUAUAAUAUGGAAAUCGCAAAAUAACACUUCCCCGAGACGAUUUGUAAGACCGCCGUCACUUGUUAUGACAUGUGCGUCGCGCGGUCGCGUUUUGCCGCCUUUUCUGACAUAUGUCAUUUUGACACGACAGCGCGGGUCAUCCCUGAACAACUUCGCAAUGUGUUCGGAACAUGAUUCACGAUGUCGCUCGUGCGGCUCGGCCAUCUUCAAAGACAAUUUCCACGAAAUUGGACGAAAUCGUAGUACAAGCAGAGAUUAAAACUAAAAAGCAGAUAGGCCGU